GUGCUCAUUUCCAGAGCACAUAUACUAAAAUUGGAACUAUACAGAGAAGAUUAGCAUGGCCCCUGCACAAGGAUGACGCACAAAUUUGUGAAGUGUUUUAUAUUUAA